CAUGGUAACACCCCCCAGUAGUGGCCCUGCAUGCUUCUCAGAAAUGGUUGUGGGGAUGGGGAGAGGUAUCUAUUGCUGGUCAGCACAGGAACCUGGCUUUGCACCCUUGACCAAACAUCGUGCUUCUGAGCAGCCAGCCUUAGGAGAAAGGAUGUCAUCAGGGAGCUGAGUGCAUUGCAGACAAGGAGGAUUUGUCUCACUGAACAUGCAGUUGUUUCCUAGAGGCCAGAGUCUGUGCUGGCGGGUCCUGCAAAUCCCACCUCCAAAAAUAACACAAUGCAGUAGAAUGCCAGCACAUUGCUGACCAUGUCUGCUUGAGAGCUAAGAUUUUCAUGUGAAGAUUCAUUAAUUUCAUCAAGCACAGAAAGUGUUUUGCAGCAUUUUUUUAUGGGGAAGUUUGUUAUCAUUUAACAAAGGAUAACAGUAGUAAAUCCAUCGGGGUGAGGGCUUAGCAGGUUUGCUGUGGAACAUAAAUUAUCUAAGUUGUUUAGGCAGUUACCUCAAUUAGCUGUGCAAUUUAAACUCCUUGGCACGAAUUAGGCCAUUUAGCCUAAUGAAUCCCUUUUAUUCCUGAUAGAUGCUGUAUCUCCACUGAUCCAUCUGACAUCAGCCCUGUGGCUCUGGUCUCUGCCCCCAGGGCCUUUCUGCCAUCCUCUGUGCUGGGUGUGUGGUGAGGAGGGAGCAGAGCAAUGUUCUGCAUCCUGCCAUCACCUGUUCAUCAUCUAAUUAACACUGACGGUGGUACCAGCAUCUCCCCCACCAGAUGAACCAGCCUUGUCACAAGGCUCUGUGUGCAAAGAGAGGUUUGCUUGUUCCAUCAGGAAAGCAACAAAAUGCAUUUCCGACCUGUGUGCCCAUGUCUGAACUGAGAGCAAGACAAACUCUUGUCCAUUUGGUGGUGUUUAGGUCCCAGGUCUUAGAUGCACUGGAGGUAUGGCUGUGGCUAUGCUGAUGCACACCAAUGGGGAGAGAGCAGCCCAGCCUGCAGGUAUGCAGAGCUUCCAGGUCUUCAGCAUUCUGAUUCAUUAAGGUGGCUUUGAUGUUGUUUCUUUAUCCAUAAGGAGCACAGAGGAAAUUAAAUUGCUGGUGGUGUAACCAAUAUGCCUGCAGACAGGAGGAGGCUGCAGUAUGGUUUGCAUAUCACCCAUUUGAUUCUCCUCUCAGUAAAUUACAUUAUUUUCAUUUUCUCUUAUUAUAACUGCAACCUCAUCCUAGCUAGUGCUCUCAUCUGUCAGACUGCAAGAUAAUUCAUUUAACUGCUCCUUACACCAGGUUCUGUGUCUCACUCUUGGUGUUGUAAUUCCAAACACAUUUCACCCAAGAGAUGGCAUUUUGGGUACUGUUCUGCCAGCAUUGUGCAAUGGGAAGUUAUUGCCAUUGCUUCUUUCAUAACAAAUUCAUCCUCGGUCAGAAAGGUCUGAGCUGGAAUAUAAACCCUGCAAUUAUCAAUAAUGGAGCUUGAAGGAAACUGAAUCUCGCUCUCUGUUGGUGUCAUAUGCUUUAAGUGUUUUUUGGACAGAUGAGGCAAUCCCCUAAAGACAAUAAUAUCAUACAUGUGAUAAAUAUGGUAAUUUACUUGACCUGGCAAUGGUGUGUGAAUGUGAGCUCCUCCUUGGCUGUUAAUCCUGUGAAGGACUAAUGGGAAUAAAAAUGCCAUCACUCACCAGAGCCACGGUGCAGCAGGAUGAGAUGCCUCAUGGAUCACAGGAUCACAGAAUGGCUUGGGUUGGAAGGGACAUCAAGGAUCAUGAAGCUCCAACACCCCCAAUUCAGGCA